GUAACCUAAAUAUAAAUAGUGCUUUACUAUUUAUUAAACACUUUCACAUUGUCUCAUUUGAUCUUCACAACCUUGUAGAAUGUGUUGACUUUAACUCCAUUUUACAGAUGAAGAAGCUGGGGCCCAGAGGGCCAUAUCGCUUGUAAAAGGUCACUUGGGUCUUAAGUGGUAGACCUGGCACUUUGUAAUUUAUAAGAACUAAAAUCUUUCAAAAGUGUUACAGAUCCACUCAUGAAGUUCUUAUACCAGCAAUUUUUAUUCUGGAAGCCCUCCCACAAUGAAUGUGGAAAAUGGGUUCUUUGUGUAAUCAGUAGGAGACUGGACUGCAUCAGGAUUUUUCAGCUUCAACAGUCUUGGCAUUUGAAGCAAGAUAAUUCUGUGGAAAGUUGUCCUGUGCUCUGUAGUGUGCUUAGCAGCUUCCCUGGCCUCUAACCACUAGAUGCCAGUAGUGCUCUCUAGUCUCCACAACCAGAAAUCUCUCCAGACACUGUAAAACACUCCCUGAGUGUGGCAUAGUCACUCGUACAUAAGAAUCUCUGAACUACAUAGUGUUCCUGGCUACUGAGACAGUUUUCCUUGCCAGUAAGAUCACUCUGUUUUUUCAGUGAUGUGUAAGAAAUUGAAGAGAAUGAAAAAGAUUCUAGAAUAAUGGACUCAAACAGCAUAGUUCUUGUUUUCAAAGUAAGCAGCAAAUGAUUCUAUAAGCUAAUACCUGGUUGAGAAUAGUUUUGAUUCUUGAUAAGAUUCUAAAAUAGAUUAUUACAGAGGUAGAUUAUGAAUACCUAAAAAAAAAAAA